GCCCUGCUUUAAGGCUGGUCAGUUCUGCAAUCAAGAAAAGAAGGCUUUGAGGCGACUGCCUCAGAUCUUGGAGGACUUCUUGCAGUCAGUCAGCUGUUAGUCUUAACACCACUUGAACACAGAAAAGAGGGGAGAACUGCACCACAUCCGUGAAGAUCACCCACCGUGACUGCUUGGUGGUGCUGAGGUUGCCGUUGACCAGUGCAAUCAACUGAUCUGCCUACACCUUGGACCUGUCCAUCGUCCUCCUGCUUGAUUUCAGCUCUUCUGCACUGUAUCUGUGUUAUUCA